rnacentral:misc_RNA from 1 species
AUUGUCUUGCAGACAAUAUCAUAAUGGUGAAGUUAAGGAACAGCCAUAAACAUGAUAACCAGACUACAACAGAAACCCAUUUUCUAGAACACGGCUUCCAGUUUCUUCUUCUCUCCCAAUGCUUGGUGGCGUUUUGAGGAUAAAAUGUCACAAAGUUGUGGUUUUUUGUUGUUCACUCAUAUCGGUCAUCAUAAUUUUCCAUUAUUUUAAGAGCAACAAUAAUAGCUAUCCUCCCAAUGGAUUCCUGGAGUCAGUCGAAGAUACAUACCGCCAUUACCGUGGGAGCAGGAAACGUAUCAACCCGCUUGACUUCACCUACACAAUUCCAGGUGAGAAAAUCUGUCGACACAGAUCUCCCUUCUUGCUCAUCUUCGUCGUGUCCCUGCACACGCGACGAUCCCAGCGAGACGCAAUCCGCUCCACGUGGGGCAGCGUAUCGAUCGGAAAACCGUGGCCAAGAAGCCAAUAUGGAAAUCAACCGUCAAACCCGCCUCCUAAUCUCUUCACGAAAGUUGUCUUCCUCUUCGGGUAUCACCCCAACGACACACACAAUCGAGAGCUACUUCACGAAAGUGCUCAGCACAACGAUGUCGUACAGGCGAACUUUACCGAAAGUUACCGAAAUUUAACUCGUAAAGUCCUCAUGGGUUUGAAAUGGGCUCGUCACUACUGCCCCCAAGCCAAGUUUGUUAUGAAAAUUGAUGAUGACACUUUUGUCAAUGUACCUAUGGUGUUUGACUAUCUCCUGUCUAAAGACGUUUGGGAAAGAACGAUUAUGGGUUUUAUCAACAUAGACUCCAUACCGUUUCGGUUGUACACAAAAUGGCAAGUUAGCUGGACUGAAUAUCCAUAUAUGCGAUACCCAAUCUACACUUCCGGUAAUAUCUAUGUGUUUCUCUCCAGGACUUCCUGUUUGCUGUUAGACGUGGCGGAAUAUAUUCCUUAUGUGUCUAUGGAGGACGUUUACAUCACAGGGAUUCUAGCAGAAGUGAUUCACGCUAAACAUCGAUUAAUUCCAUUGAAAUGGUAUUCUCCAUAUAAGACAGCUUCCCCGUGUGAGUUAGCCACCAACAAGAAAAUGGCGAGCCAAAUGAUAACGGCCAAAUUACAUUACUUGGUAUGGAAGGCAAUGCAGGAAAAAAUUUGUGAUUGAUAUGAUUAUGUACAUAAUGAUUGUUUAUAAAUUUGUAUGUAUAUGAUAUGUGGGAACGGCUGUUUAUGUAUAUAUACCAAUAUAUAUGUAUAUUAAUGUAUUGGAGUGUAUAUGCCUGUAAGUAUUUCUAUAUAUAUAUAUAUAUACGCGUGUACAUGAUAUAAAUAUAUGCAAAACAAGAAUAAAACGAGUUAGAACCUAUAAAAAAAUCAUUUGGUGAAGAGUACAUACCUAUGCACAUGCAUACAUAUAUGUGUGUAUGUGUGUGUGUGUGUGUGUUGUGUG